CAGCAGCCGCGGGAAUACGUAGGUGGCAAGCGUUGUCCGGAAUUAUUGGGCGUAAAGGGCUCGCAGGCGGUUUCUUAAGUCUGAUGUGAAAGCCCCCGGCUCAACCGGGGAGGGUCAUUGGAAACUGGGAAACUUGAGUGCAGAAGAGGAGAGUGGAAUUCCACGUGUAGCGGUGAAAUGCGUAGAGAUGUGGAGGAACACCAGUGGCGAAAGCGACUCUCUGGUCUGUAACUGACGCUGAGGAGCGAAAGCGUGGGGAGCGAACAGGAUUAGAUACCCCUGUAGUCCCUGUCUCUUAUAC
rnacentral:rRNA from 1 species